CGUGUAGGCGGUUUAAUAAGUCAGAUGUUAAAGCCCCGGCUUAACCGGGGAUAGUCAUUUGAAACUGUUAGGCUUGAGUGCGAGAGAGGGUAGCGGAAUUCCCAGUGUAGCGGUGAAAUGCGUAGAUAUUGGGAAGAACACCAGUAGCGAAGGCGGCUACCUGGCUCGCAACUGACGCUAAUGCGCGAAAGCGUGGGGAGCAAACA
rnacentral:rRNA from 1 species